GCUAACGUCCGUCGUGAAGAGGGAAACAACCCUGACCUACAGCUAAGGCCCCUAAUUCAUGGCUAAGUGGGAAAGCAGGUGGGACGACCAAAACAACCAGGAGGUUGGCUUAGAAGCAGCCAUCCUUUAAAGAAAGCGUAAUAGCUCACUGGUCGAGUCGGUCUGCGCGGAAGAUGUAACGGGGCUAAACUAUGCACCGAAGCUGCGGAUUCAUACUUUGUAUGAGUGGUAGGGGAGCGUUCUGUAAGCGGUUGAAGGUGUACCGGGAGGUAUGCUGGACGUAUCAGAAGUGCGAAUGCUGACAUGAGUAACGAUAAUGCGGGUGAAAAACCCGCACGCCGGAAGACCAAGGGUUCCUAUCCCAUGUUAAUCAGGGUAGGGUAAGUCGACCCCUAAGGCGAGGCCGAAAGGCGUAGUCGAUGGGAAACGGAUUAAUAUUUCCGUACUUGGUAUAAUUGCGAUGGGGGGACGGAGAAGGCUAAGCAAGCAUGGCGAUGGUUGUCCAUGUGAAAGUGAGUAGGGCGUUUGUUUAGGUAAAUCCGGACGAACAUUAAACCUGAGACACGAGACGAGCUACUACGGUAGUGAAGUUGCUGAUGCCAUACUUCCAGGAAAAGCCUCUAAGCUUCAGAUUAUACCGAAUCGUACCCCAAACCGACACAGGUGGUCAGGUAGAGAAUACCAAGGCGCUUGAGAGAACUCGGGUGAAGGAACUAGGCAAAAUCGUACCGUAACUUCGGGAGAAGGUACGCUCCUAUCUGUGAUGAGACUUGCUCUCUAAGCGGUUCGGGGUCGAAGAUACUAGGUGGCUGCGACUGUUUAUUAAAAACACAGCACUCUGCAAACACGAAAGUGGACGUAUAGGGUGUGACGCCUGCCCGGUGCCGGAAGGUUAAUGGAUGGGGUUAUCUUCGGAGAAGCUCUUGAUCGAAGCCCCGGUAAACGGCGGCCGUAACAAUAACGGUCCUAAGG
rnacentral:rRNA from 14 species